UGGUCAACCCCACCAUGUUCUUCAACAUCGCCGCUGGCAGUGAGCCCUUGGGCUGUGUCGCCUUCGAGCUGUUUGCAGACAAGUUUCCAAAGACAGCAGAAAACUUUGGUGCUCUGAGCACUGGAGAGAAAGGGUUUGGUUAUAAGAGUUCCUGCUUUCACAGAAUUAUUCCAGGGUAUAUGUGUCAGGGUGGUGGCUUCACACGCCAUAAUGGCACUGGUGGCAAGUCCAUCUGCAGGGAGAAAUCUGAUGAUGAGAACUUCUUCCUGAAGCAUACAGUCCUGGCAUCUUGUCCAUGGCAAAUGCUGGACCCAACACAAACCGUUCCCAGUUUUUUAUCUGCAUUGCCAAGACUGAGUGGUUGGAUGGCAAGGGUGUGGUCUUUGGCAAGGUGAAAGAAGGCAUGAAUAUUGCAGAGGCCAGGGAGCGCUUUGGGUCCAGGAAUGGCAAGACCAGCAAGAUCACCAUUGCUGACUGUGGGCAACUC
rnacentral:lncRNA from 1 species